AACGCGAAGAACCUUACCUGGGCUCGAAAUGUAGUGGACUGGGGUAGAAAUAUCCCUUCCUAGCAAUAGGUCGCUAUAUAGGUGCUGCAUGGCUGUCGUCAGCUCGUGUCGUGAGAUGUUGGGUUAAGUCCCGCAACGAGCGCAACCCUUAUCUCCAGUUGCCAUCAUUCAGUUGGGCACUCUGGCGAAACCGCCUCGGAUAACGGGGAGGAAGGUGGGGAUGACGUCAAGUCCUCAUGGCCUUUAUGUCCAGGGCUACACACGUGCUACAAUGGGCGGUACAAAGCGCUGCAAACCCGCGAGGGGGAGCCAAUACGCAAAAAACCGUUCUCAGUUCGGAUUGCAGGCUGCAACUCGCCUGCAUGAAGCUGGAAUCGCUAGUAAUGGCGUAUCAGAACGACGCCGUGAAUACGUUCCCGGGCCUUGUACACACCGAGACGAC
rnacentral:rRNA from 1 species